AAUCGAAGAAGAAUUGAUGGGAGACGAAAAAGAGGGAAGAGAAAUAUAUAUCAAAUGGUUGUAUCUUCUCUAAUUAUCUUGUUUUUUUCUAGAUUUCACUUACAGAUAUUCUCUUUGUGCCUUAUUUUGACGAUUGGUUCUGGAAAAAGGUGAGACAUAUAAAGAAUCAGAGGGAAUAUCUUGCCAAUAAA
rnacentral:ribozyme from 14 species